CCUACGGGGGGCAGCAGUCGAGAAUCAUUCACAAUGGGGGAAACCCUGAUGGUGCGACGCCGCGUGGGGGAAUGAAGGUCUUCGGAUUGUAAACCCCUGUCAUGUGGGAGCAAAUUAAAAAGAUAGUACCACAAGAGGAAGAGACGGCUAACGCUGUGCCAGCAGCCGCGGUAAUACAGAGGUCUCAAGCGUUGUUCGGAAUCACUGGGCGUAAAGCGUGCGUAGGCUGUUUCGUAAGUCGUGUGUGAAAGGCGCGGGCUCAACCCGCGGACGGCACAUGAUACUGCGAGACUAGAGUAAGGGAGGGGGAACCGGAAUUCGCGGUGUAGCAGUGAAAUGCGUAGAUAUCGAGAGGAACACUCGUGGCGAAGGCGGGUUCCUGGACAUUAACUGACGCUGAGGCACGAAGGCCAGGGGAGCGAAAGGGAUUAGAUACCCUUGUAGUC
rnacentral:rRNA from 1 species